AUGGAGGACUAUCCUGAUAGGAUUUCUGCAGUGGUCACACAUUGCUAGAAAACUAUACUCCUCAUACAGUAACUUGUGGUUUUGUUUGCUCCUAGGACUGUUUCUUGUGCCUGUGGGGAACUAUGAGACAAUU
rnacentral:snoRNA from 1 species